CAGGCUGCCAAUUAUGGAAGCACGCACCAUCAGUUACAGUAUUUCCCUCUUCAGAAAAAUGCCACAGUAACCACGAACAGCACAGUGGAAGGAGUGAGUGAUGCCCCAGGGUGGGACUUCCAAACUGCUUUUGGCACUUGUAAGCACGCACUGCAGAUUUUGCUAGAGCGUCUAGCUAGGGUUCGAAUCUUAGCAACAUCAGGAAGGAACUUUCUUUCCUGUAAUCAAAGCAGAGUUCCUGGGUAUCAGAGGCAUUCUUAUUCCUCGGUGUUGAUCAGGGCAGUGGAAUCAUCCCAGGUCUGCAAUUCUAAAUUACUAUGAAUAUGUGUAUGUAGGGAUCAUGAAAUCAGGCAUAUGUCUCCAAAGCAUAUAGAGAAGAGAGGACUAUUAAAAGGAUUACAGCUUAUAAAGAACUGAUCAUAUGCAAGGAAGGGCAGGCGGAAACGUGUCGUGCCCUAUUUUUUCUUCUCCGUUAUAUACUUUUUCUUCUCAUUUUUCAUAACACAAACAAGUACAAAGAGUAUUGAACAGAAAGGCUAUCUUGUGAGAAGAUCAUCUAUGAUACAAAUACGAAAUUUAAAUGCCAGGUAACCACAAGACCCUCUGUAUCAGCCUACUCAAAUUAUUUUGCUAGAUCUUGCCUGCAUAAGGAACAUCAUCUAGAAGUCAUCUGUAAAAUCAAUCUCUGAUCAAAAUGUCUGUUUAAAAAACAACAACAUGAAGGCAACUAUUGGUGAGAUAACUCUGAAUCUGUGGCAUCACAGGCUUUUCCAUUUGCUCUUUUUUCAAUUAGUGAUAAUGAGUAAACAGUUUACACCUGGCUCAGUUUAAUUGUCUUUUUCUGCCUGUGGGAUAUCUACUAAGGACAAUGGAGAAUAAAAGCAAAGAAGAGAAUGGAAACCAAAAAGGCACAGCAAGGAAGGAAGGACAAUUUUGUUGCUGUUGUGAUCCUUUUGGCUUUGUUCUGCUAGCAAAAAUCCCUGCUUCCAUGAGAUACAAUCACAUUGUUUGUCAAGCAAAAGUUACACUCCAGUGCAGAUGGUGCCAAAAAGCUUGAAUCAAUUGGUGAAAAACAUUCCAGACAAUGACUGACAGCUGGACUCAAUUACUCAUGAGUAGUCCCACUGAAAUUAAUCAGACAGUUAAAGCUUCAUGCAGAAAGGAAUGCCCACAUCACUGUAGCCGCACCAUAGUUAGCAUAAUGUGAACAACACAAGCAUGCAGAUCGUGAAACUAAUUCCUUAUGGGAUUUGUAAAGCUGGUGAUGAAUUUUGGAGGAAGAAGCUCAGAAGAACUGGUUGUUUAUUGGAACCAAAGAACAGAUGUGCAUGAUGAGCAUCUGGGGUGAAAUAGAACUGUGUGCAGCUAUAUAUUACGUAAGAAUUUCUCCCCCUAUCAUUCUCAAUUAGCUUUUGGAAAGCACUAACUACAAUGUCACCAGCUGCUCUCCCAAGCAACUGUGUGCUCUCUGCAAAGGGAAAUAGGUCUUGCAUAAUGGCUACUGCCUGCCAUUUCCUUCUAGCAUCUUUGGAUAAGUACUAUUCAUCCUCCCCUCCUUCGAGAGCAAUGGUGAUGGCCAUACAGUUCCUUAUUUCUCAGCUAUAUUAUCUUGAUGGGCAAUGAACACAAAAACAUGAAUCAGCUUUCACCUGUUGUAUUAGCUGACACAAUCGCUUUCUUCUUCCUGUGGCAGAAACUGUAACUGAUCCUUCUCAAGUAGGGUGACCAGAUACAAAAGACAUCAGAUGUUCUGUGCCUCUUAGAGCUGUGUAAAAGAGACAAAAUUCACCAGAUGCAGCUAGUGAUGCAAGGAUUUCCCCAAUUUUCUUCCUUUAAUUUUGGUUUGCUCUGCCCCGAGAGAGUCCCAUUCCUCAUGGAUUCUGGCUUAAUGAAGAGGAUUUAGAAAAUUCAUUUCGGAACUGGAGCACAUGCCCUUUGCCAUAGUUUUUCAUCCCUUCCAUUCAUCUAUAUCUUUCGCUCCAUCAGUGUUAGUGAUACACACACAUACAUAGACAAAACACUGCUAAAACCAGUCUUGAUAUGACCGGAUGCCAAGAUUAUUUUGUGUGUGGUGUUUUAGUGUUGUAUAUGUGCAGUAGCGCAUGCACACUUAAGCAAAAGACCUCCCCAAAAAUAACCUUGAUGUAACCACAUGUACUAUAACAUUAAGAUUGCCUCGGGGCAAUAUUUGAUCAAUGCAAGCAUGUCCAUUUAAAGUUGAAACCUGCAAGAGUGCUCUGAACAAAUUCAAAAAUUAACAAUGGAGAAUUCCUAAUGCAUUUAUAAAUGAGACCAGCAGGGGCAUAGCAAAGUUGCAGUGGGCCCUGGGACAAAAAGUGAAAAUGGCAUCCCCAGGCCCUCUGUCUCCUUUGCCUCCUGUUAUGAGGUCUGUAGGAGAUAUGUCAGCUACCACCCUCAGUGACUAUGUUUUGGUGAGGGAAAUUAGCAUCAAAUGAGUGCAGACCCAUGAACAGAAAUAAAAUACUUUAAGAGUUGUGUGGAACAGGUGGCCACGACAUGGACACACUGGAAGGGGAAAGAAAGAGGAUGGAGACAUGACCUUGAAAACAAGUUACUUUAUUGAGGGAUCAUCUGGAGGCCCAAAGAAGAAAGAUCUAUAGUGGAUUCUAAAUCUGUGGCUGUCAACAUUGUUGCUUUAUAAUGAAUUUUAAGUGAGAAGGGGAAGCCCGAUCUAUAAGGGAUAUUUGCUGCUAUUAAUGCUUCUGUUACAGGGCACAUUGUUCUUCUUUCCAAAGUUUCUGGAGAUAGGUCUGGAAAAACUUGUAUAGAUUUAUUCAAAUAUUGAAAGGAUACACAUCUUCUGGCUUCUUUCAAUGUUUUAUUUUUUGUACGCAUAUCCAGAAAUUUUACAACUAUAUCCCUUGGGAAUUGCACUGCAUUUAUGUGUGGGGAACCCAUUCUAUAUGUGUUUAUUAUAGUCUGGUAGAUUCCAGCUUCCAAUUGCAAUUCUUUAUUUAGUCACGUAGAGAUAAAAGAGGUAAUAUUGUUUAUGCCUACCCUUUCUUCAAAACCUCUAAAUCGGAUUGAGUCCCUUUUUAAUUGGUUUUCGAGAUUUUCAAUACAAGAAAGAUAGUCUAUUUCAUUUUUCUGCAUCAUUUGUAUUUCAGCUUGUUUCUGCUGUCUGCUGCUGUCUGGGCAAUAUCUGAAGUUUUUUUGCUUAAAUUAUCCCAUUCUUUGCUGCAGAGGUUGCAGUAAUGAUUGCAUUUGUAUUAGGAGCCAGCGUAGUGUAGUGGUUAGAGUGCUGGACUAGGACCAAGGAGACCUGAGUUCAAAUCCCCAUUCAGCCAUGAUACCAGCUAGGUGACUCUGGGCCAGUCACUUCUCUCUCAGCCUAACCUACUUCACAGGGUUGUUGUGACGAGAAACUUAAGUAUGUAGUACACCGCUCUGGGCUCUGAGGAAGAGGAAGAGCAGGAUAUAAAUGUGAUUUUUUUUUUUAAUGUCUGCUUUGACUUUCUGCAAUUCAUUUAGCAGGAGCAUUUGUUUGUUGAUUCUGUGUCAACACGGGGCUUGGAGCUCCUCCUUUGGCCAUUUCUUUGCUCUGUUGAUAAGGCCUUUCUUUGUUGUGUUGAUGAGGGCUUCGAUUGAGAUCGAGGAGUGGAUAGGAAAUCUGUAAGGUCUUUUUUUCUUUUGUUGUGACCCUUAGAUGUUGCAGCACUUGAUUUCCUCAUUUUCCUUAAGGUAAUGGGUACAUUAACGCCUUUAAAAGUUUCUAUUCAGUCUUGGGAUAAGGGGCUCAGAAAUUAGGCGUCCGCCAUGGGUAUGACAUCACUUCCUCCUUCUUCCUUUUAGUUUGAUAAGAGUCUUCAAGGUUGAGUAGAAAUCUCUAUCCAUCCAUUUCUCCCCAUCGUUAUCAAAAUUAAGCCAGUAUACGCCAGAAUGUAUGAUGUUCUCUCCUUCCUUCUCUUUGUCAAGGUGAUUGCUCCAACUAACUCCAAGGUGAUUGCCAGGGAAUUUAGGAUCAGCAAACGGAAGUAUUUUUUCACACAACACAUAAUCAAUUUGUGCAAUUUUCUGCCACAAGAUGUGGUGACAGCCAACAACCUGGAUGGCUUUAAGAGGGGUUUGGAUAACUCCAUGGAGGAGAGGUCUAUCAACAGCUACUAGUCGGAUGGCUAUAGGCCACCUCCAGCCUCAAAGGCAGGAUGCCUCUGAGUACCAGUUGCAGAGGAGUAACAGCAGGAGAGAAAGCAUGCCCUCAAAUCCUGCCUGUAGGCUUCCAGCGACAUCUGGUGGGCCACUGUGUGAAACAGGAUGCUGGACUAGAUGGGCCUUAGGCCUAAUCCAGCAGGGCUGUUCUUAUGUUCUUAUGUUCUAUCUCCAUUUUAUGAAUAUCAUUUGUCAAGGAGCAUACAGGAAGAAGCCACCCAGACACAACCUAAUCAAUACCUAAUAAUUCUCACCUUACUGAGAGCAAGAAUUCCUAAACUUAAUCAAAGAAUUAUCCAAGGAUUGGUCUCUUUUUUUAUUUAUUCACUCUUUCAUUUUUCUUUUCUCUCCCCCCCUUCCCUUCCCUUCCCUCUCUCUCUCUCUCUCUCUCUCUCUCUCUCUCUUCAAUUUCUAUACUGCCCUUCCAAAAAUGGCUCAGAGUGGUUUACAAAGAGAAAUAAUAAAUAAAUAAGAUGGAUCCCUGUCCCCAAAGGGCUCACAAUCUAAAAAGAAACAUGAUAGACACCAGUAACAGUCACUGGAGGUACUGUGAUAGGGGUGGAUAGGGUCAGUUAUUCUCCCCCUGCUAAAUAAAGAAAAUCCCCAUGUUAAAAGGUGCCUCUUUGCCAAGUUAGCAGGGGUUUUCUUUAUAGUAAUCCACAAAUCAUAUCUCUCUCUCAUCCCUAUAUCCCCCUACUAGCAGUGGCCUCAACAACACAACUACUUUAUUAAGAAAUAUGAGAGGGAAACAUAUAUUGAAUCAUCUGGAUAAUAUAUAAAUUAGAUAUAUCCCUCUUCUCCUUAUCUGAACACACUUACAACUUUACAAUGAUAAUGGGGGGCGGGAUUACUCAACUAUAUAUAGUAGGUUAGUAAAAUGCUCUUUUGGGAACUUCACAGAAAUGGUCUUUUGAAUAAUAAUUUGAAGUUAAAUAAGGAAGGAAGGAAAUAGCUAAAUGCUAUAAAUAUAUAUUUGAAAUUAAUCCUUCCUAUAUGUCUACUUUAUUCAUAUCACAAUCAAUACAUUGUAGUACUAUGCAUUGUUUACAUGAUAUAUGAUUUAUCAUGUAUCAAUUUAUUUAUUUAUUUAUAUACAAAUAUAUCCCGCUCUUCCUCUGAAGAGCUCAGAACGGUGUACAUGGUUGUUUUUAUCCUCGCAACAACCCUGUGAAGUAGGUUAGGCUGAAAGCUACAUGACUGGCCCAGAGUCACCCAGUGAGUUUCAUGGUUGAAUGGGGAUUCAACCUCGAGUCUUCCCAGUCCUAGUCCAACACUCUAACCACUACACUGUGCUGGCUUGCAACACUCUCAAAAUUUGGUCUAUAGUAAAAAUUGAGUUACCAGGGUAGAAUAAGGGCAAAUUAACCAUUGUAGAAAUCCUGGGAUGAAAAGAUGCUCUCAAUUGUCCUCAGAAAGAAAAAUAAAAGGAGAUUUCACCACCAAUCUUGUUUAUGUUCUUGUUAAAUUGUUGAUUGGACUGUUCUGGGAAUUGGGGGGAGGGAUUAGUUAAAAUCAUGAAUAUCAGCUGGCUUGACUUUCACUUACAAGAAGUUAUACAAACCUUCUCUGAAUGGGAUAAUGAAUAUAUCUAUUAUAAUGCACAAUGGUGGGUGCUUUAAAAAUUCUUCUCUAUGUCAAUUGUAAUGGCUUGGGGUCAUGCGUCAAACGCUCUAAAGUAUUUAAAACACUGCGUGAACAACAAGCCAAUGCUGUAUCCUUGCAAGAAACACACACAGUUGUAAAACUAUUCAGUUAUUCCCAUUUCCUGCAGCAAUAUAUUGCAUCAAGAAUAUCUAAAUCAAGAGGGUUAGCCAUAUUAAUCUCUAAAGACUGUCCUUUUAGACCUUCUAAGAUACACACUGACCCAGCAGAACAUUACAUCUUUAUAGAGGGCACAUUAUUUGAUAAACCUUCAAUACAGGACUCAAUUUAUGCCCCUAAUACCAAAUAGCACUCCUUUUUCAAACUGCUUUUUUAAAAAACACAGACAAACCCCAAACGAAAAACUGGAUUAAAGGAGGAGAUUUUAACACAUUAAUGAACCUAGUUCUGGACACCUCCAACAAAGAAAGGCAACAUACUGAACACCAAUGCAAAACUGUUAAUGCAAUUGACUGAAAAAUUCAAUUUAAUGCACACAUGGAGAGAAGUACAUCCACUGGAAGGAGACUAUAUGCUUUACUCAAAUAGAAAUCAAACAUACUCCAGAAUUGAUUAUAUCUAUAUCUCAGCACCUCUGCAGCUAUAUUUGUAAAAAACUAGUAAUAAUUUAUUACGGUCACUGAACAGUCAACAUACACAUCAAAAUAUAAAUCAGCAUAAAACAAAGCAAAAUCAAAACAGUAAAACUAGAUAACACCACAUCAUAUUAUGCAAAAAUCUCAGUUAUAACUACUCAAUUGUUCCCGUUUCAGUUUACAGGCUGCUGCACAGGAUCUUGCUGUCCCCGCUGUGACAACUGCAUGUUGAUCCGGCAAAAAACAGGAGAUGUAAUACUCUUCUGAUUGACCAGUCCUAUUUUUAAAACAUGGUUCGAUCCAUAUAGUACAAAUGCCCUUAUAAUAGGCACAGUGUAAAAGAACAUGUGAGACAGACUCAAUGUCACCCAAACCACAUGGACAUAACUGGUUCCUUAGCGGUAUCCCCUUAAAUCUGUCAUCCAAAAUGGCAGAAGGCAAGGCAUUAAACUGCGCCAGCAAAAAGGCUCUCCUCUGAUUUAAGGUGGUCAAGUGGGUUAGGCAUGCAGCUGGCCAAGGGUAGUUUGAAAAACCACCUAAAGUACUACUGGUGAUAACCAGACUUAAGUCCAAUUGCUUCUCCAUAUCUGCCACACGCUGUUUAACAAUUUCUUUGGCAGCGUCAUGACCAAAAGUGAAUAAAUAUUGCGGUGAGAAGCCAUAUCUGCCCAAAUUGUCAUAGAGGUUUGCAAAAAGCUUUUUAUUGGGGAUACAAUUUGGACAGAUCAUAACUGGAUCACAGAGUGGUUACAAUUUGAAGAAAAGGAAAGAAAACAAACUUAUGGAAAUUAAACACAUAUUUAUUAAUCAAUAAACAUAUUGUAAAACAAUUUGAAGAUAAAAUCCAAGAAUUAUUUGAAUUUAACACAGAUUGUGCAGUAAAUCAGCAAACAAUCUGGGAAGCAUUUAAAGCCAUGCUUUGAGGUGAAUGUAUAAGCCAAGCAUCACAGGCCUUGAAAUACAGGAACUCUGGAAUAGAAAAAAUUAUACAAAUUAUUAAAAAUAUAGAAUCUGAACAUAAGAUGACAGUCAAUUAAAAAAAUACACGGAACUCCAAAAAGCUAGAUUAAAACCGGAUUUAUUAGACUCCCACGCAAUCCAGAAACAGCUAUUGUUUUAAAAACAAAGCUAUUAUGAAAAAGGUGCUAGGGCAAGUAAAGAUUUAGCUAGAAGAAUAAAUAAUAAAACUCAGUCUAAAAGAAUCAAACUACUUACAUCUAAAGACCACAGAGAUUUAACAAAAACUAGCCAUCUUGGAUGAACUAACUAAAUUUUAUGAAAAUCUAUAUACUUCAGAAUCUCUGCAACCAGAAAAUAUUUUCAGAUUUGUAAAUAUGCAUCUUCACACUAAAAUAACAACUUUGCGUGCUAAAAUAAUGGAGUAUCCUGUUUCAGAAACAGAAAUUGCUCAAGCUAGAACAUCCACUAAACUGGGCAAAUGUCCUGGACUAGAUGGCAUCCCAAUCGACUUUUACAAAACAUUUAAAAACAAACUCACCAAACCUCUUACUAUACUAAUUAAUGAUGCUUUAAGUAAUGGCAAAUACCACAGACCUGGAAAGAAGCCCAUAUAGUGGUAAUCCCCAAACCAGAUGAGGACCUUACAAAUCUCAGAUUUUAUAGACCCAUAUCUCUGUUAAAUCAAGAUGCCAAACUAUUCACAACAAUAUUAGUUAAAAGACUGAAUAACUGCAUUGGUCAUUAUAUACAUCCUGACCAAUCUGGAUUCAUCCCUAAAAGAAAUUAAGUGGAUAACACAAUAAGAACCCUUAAUAUUAUAUGCUAUACUAAAAGAAGCAACAUUCCUCUCACUAUAUUGGCUUUGGAUGCUGAAAAAGUUUUUGAUAAGCUAGAACCUAAUUACUAACAACACCUACUGGACAAAAUUCAAUUUGGACUAAAAUAAAAUAAAAAAAAUUAUAUGAUCCCCUGAUAGCCAAAGUAUUGGCUAACCUUCUAACCGUCAGAAGACUUCAAAAUUCAGAGGGAGACUAGACAAGGCUGCCCAUUAUCCUCACUUCUAUUUGCUCUUUCCAUCAAAUCUCUGGCAAAUGCAAUACGAUUAUCAGUAAAAAUUAAAGGACUUAAAAUUAAGGUCAGAGAGCAUAAAAUUAGUCUCUAUGCAGAUGGCAUCACUCUGUACCUGACCAAUUCAAACCAAGCAAUUGUGUGAAUAAAAAUAGAAGACUUCAAGAAGGCAUCAGGUUUUAGCAUCAAUAUCAGUAAAUCCAUAAUUGCUAAUUAUUAUACUUCAAUGGAAGAAAAUCUACAGCUACAACAGGAGACACAACUCAAAUGGGCAAAAGAAAAGUGGAAGUCAUUAGGAAUUUGGAUACCUACUAAAGAUACCUCACUCAUUGAGAUUAACCAUGUACCACGUUUUCAAAAGAUUGAACAAGAUCUCCAUAACUGGGAUUCUCUAAAGUUAUCAUGGCUACAACGAACUCAUUUAAUAAAAAUGAUAAUUUUACCUCUUUUUAUUUCAGACAAUUCCAUGUCCUAUCUCUAAAGCCCAGGUUUCACAGUGGCAGCAGACACUGGACAAGUUUAUCUGGAGUUAUAAAAAACCAAGAAUACAAAAAGCGAUACUAAAACAACAAACAAAUAAUGGAGGUUUAAAAUAUCCAGAUUUGCAACUAUACUAUGAUUCCACAAUACUUGCGUACUUACUUAAACUUAUAUAGUCUCACAAUGACCAAAACAUGGGCAGAUCUGGAGAAUCAGUUUUGCUAUCCAUACAACACUGAAGAAAUUUUAUGGUAAACCUGGAGAAGCAGACCAUCAAUGUGCAAAGACAAUCCAUACUAAUUAAACACCAUUUUAAUUUGGGUCAAAUGGCAUCGUAUAUUAGCUCCAUCCCCACCACCUAUAACCUCAAUUCAUGGUCAACCUUUAAAAAAAAAAAACCUGGAGUGGAAGUUAAAUCAUUUCACUACUUGAGAAAACAUGGACUUACAAAAUUAUAUAAUUUAAUUAGUGGAAACAAGAUAAUCUCAAAACAUCUUGUUUUGUAACAACUCUUGUAACAAGAGUUGAUUGCUAAAACAAAGGAUACACAUCUUCUAUGGUAUGAAUAUAUUCAAAUAACUCACAUGAUAACACCCAUACUCAAAAAAUAUUACUCAUUCUAAAACCUUUUUUGUAAAAAUAAUAAUGGACAAUACUGCAAAGGACUACUUUUUCAAAUAUAUGAUAUAUUAUUAAACAAGAAAUAGAACUGUACCUUAUUAUUUAAAAAGAGAUGGGCACAAGACUUGGGCCAAGAAAUCACUGAAAAACAAUGGGAAAAUAUCUGGAAGUCCUACUCAAUGCUUUCUUCUUCUUUAAACAUCAAAAAAGAAAUUUAUAAAAUAUUAACCUGAUGGCACCUUUCCCCUUCAAACUUAGCUGUGACAAAUCCAGAUAUGUCCCACUUGUAUUGGAAAGGCUGCAAGAGAAAAGUCUCCUUCUAUCACCCAUGGUUGUCUUGCCCAUUUAUAUACAAAUUUUGGCUACAAGUACAUAAAUAUAUUAAAGCAAUAUUAUACAUAGACCUGGAGUUAAGCCCAAUGAAUUAUUUAUUGGACUCACUGCUAUAGUCUCAACUCACCACUUCAAACAAAGAACUCUUUAGCCUUCUAACUAUAUCAGCAAAAUUUGUCAUCGCUUCAUAAUGGAAGAAAAAAGGGCACAUUUCGAUUAGAACAUGGUUCAACAGAAUAUGGUCACAAUGGUUAUGGAUAAAAUUGCUUUACUACUGAAAAAUGAUACCAAUCAAAACCUAAGUGCAUUAUAUUACACCAGGUGAGUACCUUUCUGGAGAUAUAUAGAAGAGGGUAAGGACACAAUGCAUGACCAUAAUGUUCUAAAUUAUAUUUACUCUUGGUGAAAGUGAAUGUUCAUUUGCAGAAGCCAGUUGAUUCUAUUCUAUAAGUUCAAAAGCAGUUAUUUAAUUGAACAAUGCAGGGGGAACUGAUGUUAUGAAUGUGUGACAUUUUUAUUCAAUGAUAUGAUACCUACCUGUCAUUGUAUUUUGAAGGGGAAAACUCUAAUAAAGCUUUAAGAUAUUAAAAAACACCUAAAA